AAAACAAAAGAAUGAAAAAGGCGAGAUCUUAAGACAAUUCGAUAGCUAAGAAACAAGAAAACAAUGAAACGAAAGGAUAGAGAGAGAGAGAGAGAAAGAAGAACCUGAAGACCAGCUCUUGAGGAACGAGAUGUGGGUUUCUUCUUGUCCUUGUCUUUGAGGUUUGCUGGAGUUUUACCGGUUGUCAAACCCUUCGCUCCUUUCCCCGACAUGUUUUCGCACUCAAACACUUAGAGAGAGAGAGAGAGAGAGAGAGAGAGAGAGAGAGAUUUGGCUUUUGAGGUUGUUUGGUUUCUUCUUCUAAGUUCCCCCCACGACCCUUUAUAUUCUCAAAAAUCUAAUUACACUUUAUGUCCACCAAAUACCUACAUAUAUUUUUUUUUUUUUUUAAGAAUAUUAAAUACUCCCUCCGUCCCAGAUUAAUUGAACCAUUUUUUCAUUUCACACUGAUUAAGUAAAUUGUAUAAAUGAAAGAGAGAGAAUAAUGAUUUUGAGUGUCUUUAUAAAAGAUUGAUGCAUUCUUCUUUAUCAUAAAUGUAAAGUAAAAUAUAUUGAAUUGGAAGUUGUGAACGUAGUAUUAAUUAGAGUUAUAAAGGGAAAAAGUAAUUAAUAUUGUAUUGAAAAGUGAAAUGGUUCAAUUAUUUUGGGACAAUUAUUUUUGCAAAUGGUUCGAUUAUUAUGGGACUGAGGGAGUACUAAAUUUUGUUAUAUCUCUUUGUUUUUCAAGGGAAAAUGGAAAAUGGGUCAUAUUCGAAAAAUAAAUAGAUUUGAUCAAUGAUUAUGAUCAGUUCGGUGAAGAUUAUAGAUGUAGAACGGUGGUUUACGGUGCUUUGGUGUGGUGGAGGUUGAGUGUUCACCCUGGAGGAAAUGAGAAAGGUGUCUGCAGACAUGUUAGUACUUUAACUCCCAAAUCACUAUUUGAGAGAAGUGGUUAUAUGCAAAAGUGGUGAAAAGUGAAAUGUACCUUGAAGAUGACAAUGAGUCACCUUGUAAUUGGAGAGAGGGCGAACCCACUUGGGUUGUUCUGGUGGUAUUGGCUUGGAACCUGAAAGUGUGCUUCUCCUCGAGGUCUCAGGUUCGAUUCUCUCCAAUGUCAAUUUAAAUGGGCUAAUUUAGUUUCUUCAAAAAAAAAUUGGAGAGAGGGUUUUGGUUUUUGAGACAUGUUGAAAGUGACUCGCGACAUGAGUCAUGGGGACGUUGAGGUUUCCUUUUUUUAUACGAGUGAGAAUUCAUGCCCUAAAUUGAACGUGAAGGCGGGUGUUGGUUUUCUUUCAGCGGUAUUGUGAUGGAGAAUCCUGUCGAAGUUAUUGACUUUGAGAGUGACGAAAUCUAUCAGUCCAUAAAGAGAGCCUUAGAGAUGCAAUUUAGGAAUCUUCUCUCCCAUAAAGAGAUCGUAUGGUGAUUGGAGGAGUUUUCCAUAUGUCAUAUUCAUGGUUCUUAUUUUCUUUUUAUGGACAAAGACGAAGAGAGGUCGAAAGAGGCAGAUAUGAAACUCCCUCCCAAAACCGUGAAGUACGGUUGGUUGAGCGAUGAUGGUUUAGGCGUCCCUUCUUAUUUUUGAGGAUUUUGAACGGUCGGAUUAGAUCUCCUGGACCAAUAAUUUCAAAGGCCGUUGGCAAGUUGAGACGCCAUGAGAACGGAAGAGGGUAUGCACCAAAUUCAAAGGUUGUUGUUUCAUCAGUUGUGAUAUUCUAUUUUGAGAGCUCCGCAUCACGUUCUCGUUUGAUGCCUUUGUGUUAGGUUUUAUAAACCAUUAGCAGCUUCCCCUUCACGACUACGUCCCUUGGUUUAGGAAUUUGUUAAGGUUUUUCAAUAUUGGUGUGAGUAUCAGGUGAGUUUUCCCACCCUCAAUCUUUUCUUUGCCUUGAACCAGGUACAACAAAAGAAGUCUACAUGAAAUCCACAUGGCUAAGUGUUUUUCCAACAAAAGACUAAAAAACUUGUAAAUUAUUCUAAUUCCUUAAUCCUAGAAGGAUAGGUAUGUGGUGAUCCUCACUCUUAGCCGGAAUGCCCACGAGUGUAUUUGCAACGUUCCUUUGGGUAAUGAGAAGCAGUUUUAUGAUUCUUAUGGCGUGGAGGUGAGGGACUCUAAGUCUACUAACUCUGAUGAGUUCAUAGCCAAAUUUUGGAGGGUAAAGUCUUUCGCGGCUGCUUUCGGAUGUGUUGGCGGCUUCGCUUACCAUGAGGGUGCCACCAAAGAAAUUAAACAUGAAUCCUUGUCUUAUCACUUCUGGACGGAGGAGCACUUCGCUUCUCGUACCAGCUCGUAUAUUUUCAAGGAAGGCGUUCUUGACAAGGAAGAACGCGAGGUCAAGUUCUCUCUUUAGCAAUUCAUCAAGAUUUUUGAGUUGGAGCUUGCUCCCGACCCCAAGUUCCCUUAUGACCCAACCAAAAAUGAAGGAGAAGGCAAGGUUUGAGUUGGAGCCUGUUCUCGACCCCAAGUUCCCUAAUGAUCAUCGACACACUCAUUAAGAAAAAAUAGUAGUUCGAAUCUCCCUCUUAUGUCGUGGAGAUGCUACCGCCUUCGGGGUAGCUGUAGAAAUUGUCGAAGCUGGAGGCGUGGUUAUUUAUGAUGUCGUUAAAAUAUUAGAGGUGGCGGCUCAGGAUCCCCUUUUCCGUUUAUGGCGAACUUCUUUUGACAUUUCCUCCCACAAACACAAAAAGGGUUCUUCUCAUGUUGUCAAGGGAAAGAAGCAUGAUCACGAGAUGUGUCGUAAAAAGCAAAGGGGUAACAUUAAUGCAUAUAGGUUGAAUAUGGGUGGGAGCAAUAUCCCCCAUAUUCCAAGGAUUCCCUUUGUUGUCGGGGUUGUUGAUGAGACCGAUUUAAAGCAUCCCUUCAAGCUUCUCAACCUUUUCGUAGGUAACAUUCCUAGUUCUAUUUCUAUUUUUUAAAGAGGUGUGUCACAAAAUUGAAUUCUUAACGCACACGUCUGAAGACGAAGAACCAAAAGUUUCCUCAUAGUGUCACUUUGCUUGAAGGAGAGAUAAAGUCAUGGGACAAAAAGUGUAAAACCCAUUACGACAAAACUGACCCUGUACGAAGUAGGUCAUUUAAAUCAUAAUUUGUAGUGACAAAAAAAAAAUCAUAAAGGCUUAUAUUGUAUUUCUUAGUUUUCCCUCCAAUUUCAUUAGUUUCCUUAAACUCAUUUAUACUUAUAAAUUUGAAGAACGUACUUCUUCAAAGACGUUCUUCAAAUUGUCUUAUAUAUAUAUAUAUAUAUAUCCUUUUUUCAUAUUAUUUUUGUGGAACAUUGUAUAUGACUAUGGAUGAGUUUUUCUAUCAUGUGAAAAUUUACACAUGUUAAGAAAUUUAAUAAUAACUUUAUCUUAAAACUUGUGUAUUAUGAUAUUAAAUAGUUAGCUUUUUAAUAAAUAAUUAUUGUUUUUCAAUAAAAGUUACUACUUUUAGUUGUUUUUUUAAUCAACUUUUAGUUGUUUUUUUUAGGAAAUUUUUAGUUGUUUUAACAUGUGCAUUAUUGCAUGUUAGUCAAACCCUAUGAAGCCCAUAUACAUGAUACAAUACGACACGACACUAAUACACCAAUACGGGAAAAUUUUAAAUUCAAGAUACUAUACGACUGAGAUACUUCAAUAAAAAAUUAAAUUUAAACUACAUAUUAAAACUCAAAAUACAAAAUAUGGACUAAAACUCAAAAGCAAAAAAAUUGGCGCAAAACCUAGACCAAACAGACAUAGAAAAACGAUAAGGCACAACAUUGAAAUUGCCUUCACACAACAAUCAACAAUAACAUUGUUCUCAAACAAAUAAAGAGACACAAAACAAACGGCGGAAACAACAAAAAUAUAAAUGUAACUAAUAUUGAUAAUAAAGAAAGCGACAAUUAAUCAAUUACAUAUAUGAUAUAUCCUAAAUAGAAAACAUAAUUACUUAGUCAAUUACAUUUAUACCAAAUAUAAUAGAAACACCAGGUAGCCCGCACAUAUCAGUUUUCCACCGCCUACCCCUCGUAUCCCAGAUGUAUCUGAAAAAUAUCGGAUAAUUUUUUUUUUUUUUAAAUAAAAUUUAAUCUUCAGAUACUCUCCUGAUACGUAUCGGAAAAUAUCAGACAGGUAUCGGUGUAGGAUACACAUGAAAUACGUUACAUCAUCUAUUUUAAAGUAUCUGAGCUUCAGAGGUCAUACCCACUGUAAUAUGAAUUAUUUUACUUUAUUUUUAUAAAAACAAAAUUCAUUUUGAUGCAAAGUUGGAAUUUUUUUUUUGGCAGAUUUACAUCUACACUACGUUUGUAAAUAAGAUAUUUUUUUUAAGUACUUAAUAUAGUCUUUAAAAACUCCACGUGAUAAAAAAAUCAAACAACCACAUACAUUAAUUGUACUAUCCAAUCUAGUAUAGCAUUUGUAAAAGGAGAAAUUUUUUCUUGGUCCCAAAGAAAAAAUAAAAAGUGUUUAGACACACAUAAUUGAAUAAAAUUAAAGAAAAAAUAAUUGAAUGAUAUAACUAAAUUCUUUUUUAUUUAUUUUUCUCUACUUAUGUGGGUGUGGCCCAACCUUUAUUAUUUGUAUUUAUGUUCAACAAAUACAAGAUCUGCUUAUUAUAACUCUUCAGUUCUCAAGUAUCUCAAUCAACUGUGUAAUUUUACUCCUGCAUUGUUUUCACCCCUCUUUUGUGAUAUAUUUUUUACAUGAAGACCUAUGUAGCACUGACAUAGAUCACGUAUAAGUGGCAUGUCCGAAGUCCAACACUUGUCAAUGUCCAAUCUCAACAUGAUACCUACCUACACAUGUAAUUGCAUUCACUUAUUUCCUUUCCUCAAAUCAGUUCAAGCAGUUCAAAACAAAGACAGUUUAACAAGAUAAAAGCCAACAUUAAUCCUAGACAUAUGCAGUACCAUACCACAAAAGUGAGAAUGUUAGUUAAUACAAUCCAUAUCAAAAGAGAAGAAAUUUUCAGAUAAUCUGAAGAAGGAUGGCCCAAUCAAUCAAACCAACGCAAGCAGCAAAUUAUCCACAAAUAAAGUUGUUAACACCGAAAUUACAUUAAAAUCCAUCUUUUUUUCCUGCAUUAAUUAGAACGAAUUAUGAACAUUCAUUCCUUUGAGGACUUGUUGAUAAGAGACUUGUGGAUAUGAGGAAUAACACCACCACCAGCUAUUGUUCCUUUGAUGAGAGUGUCAAGUUCUUCGUCUCCACGGAUAGCAAGUUGUAGAUGUCUCGGUGUAAUACGCUUCACCUUCAGAUCCUUGCUUGCAUUGCCAGCCAACUCCAACACCUCUGCAGUUAAAUACUCCAGGAUAGCAGCAGAAUAAACUGCAGCUGUAGCCCCAACUCUUCCAUGUGCCAUUGUCCUUGACUUCAGAAGACGAUGGAUACGUCCGACAGGGAACUGUAUGUAGAAAGAUAUUCAUGAAAACAAAGCAGAUGAUGUGAGAUAAAUUUAAACAAUGCCAACAAGUUCAACAUGAUUUGCAGCCAGACAACAAAUUUUAGCAUACUUAAAAUCUGGAGAAAAAAAUAGUAUCAAGAAUCAAAGAAAUACAAUAAUUAACCGCUUGCAAAAAGAAAUAAUCAACACACAGCAUCCAAAGAUACUAGUCACUGACAACAAUAUCAUUGUUAUAGAUGAACCUGCUGUAGCCAUGACACAUGUGGCUGAUGCAAAAACAAAAAACCUUUGACCUACCAGGCAGCCUUUUAUGUCAGGCUGCCACUUUGCGGAAUUCAUCACAUUAGUAAUCCAAAGGCAAGAAGGAAAAUGUAUAUUACAUAAAACACAGAUAUAUGCAUAGCAGCACAAAAUAAGCAACGAGAACAAAAAUGCUAUCUUCAAUUAGACAUGGUUGACUACAUUGUUUGAAAAUAGAUUUUCACAUAUGCAUAAGUAACACUAAACAGUUAUAAAAUACUAUUUUUCUUUUUUGGAUAAAAAAAAGGGUUAUGCUAAAGUCAAUUUUUAAAGUUUCAAUGUAAUGGAAUGCACAAUUUCCAAAAUAAAUUUUUUUCAUAAGACUUCUUAUCAAGCACCCUUGCAACACUUGUUAGCAUUUUCCUAAAAAUAAUACUACUAUUAAUUAAAUACACAGAAUUUCUUAGUGAUUCCUUGGUAAGAGUUGUAUGUUUAUUCGUCAAGACCAAGGUUCGAAUCACACCUCCAACAUAUUUUUUAUGUUUAUACGAAAAAAUACAAACAAAAGUUUAAAGUAAGACUCGAGCUUCUAUCCUCAUAGGAGCCAAAAAAGCAGAUUACCACUGCACCACAAAGAUUAAGUGAUAACUACAGAACGUAUAAUAUAUAUACAAGAGGAAUGCUAGUAACACUCAAUUUUCAACACUCUCUAGCACCCACUCUUUUAUUGGAUGAAAUCAAUGUAUGUCCCACCACUUUGUGUGGGUUCGGUUUACAAAGUGUAGACCGACAGUGAUUUAAACCAAUAAGAAAGUGAGUAUCACAAAGCGUGUUCAAAAGAGAGUGUUACUAGCCUUACUCACAUAUUCAUGCUAAUACAUAUACACCUAUUAAGAAGGGAAAUAAUAAUUUUAGGAGGGUGGCCCAUGGCCACCCUCUAUCCCUUCUACUAUCCACCACGGCCACUCAUGCAUUAUCCCUUUUCGAAAAAAAGGAAGACAACAAACUAGAGGAGACUUCGAAUCAAGGCCCAUGACCAAAUCAAGGCCUAGUCUCUAUUAAAAGUCCAAAUAAAUAACAUAAACAGCUAUAAACAAUGUAGCACCAACACUUAAGUAAGAUUGAAGGCGUCUCCGGAGUGAAACAUGUGUUGGUAAGUCAGUAUACACAAUACCAAGCCCGACACCACGCCGACACAUUUGACCAUAUUCAACUAUUCAAUUUUCUCAAACUAUUAAUUAUCUGUGUGUAGGGGCGGAUCAAUUUGACAAUAAGCGAUAUAACUCAAUGACUAAUUUAUUUGUCAGUGCCAUAAUUCUGAAACAAUUUUGACCGUAGAUUAGAUACAAGUUAGGAGAAGGACCAAGUUGUUCAAUACAAUUCAAAAUCAAAGUUUUUAUUUUCCAUUUGCAAAUUUCAUGGGUGUAAAUGUUGGACUCCUACAGUUUCAUGAGGCGAAUUUACUCAAAAGUUUUUCCCCCUAACUCAAGGUCUUAGAUACACCACGCCACUGACUGUGUGUUUGUGCUUGCAUCAUAAGCCAUAAAACAAAACAAGGUAACUAUACUAUCAACAAAAAGAUACACCAUGUACACCAUCAGACACAAUAAACCAGUUAAGCAAAUUAAAAACGGGUCAGCGAAAAACUAAUAAGAUAGAAUGAAAAUCACUAUAUAGACAACGGUAAAACAACAGUAACAACGCAAUAUCAAAAUAAAAUACACCCAAAUUUGAAUCUUGAUAAAAAAAAUCAAUCUUUUUACUCAAUUCUUCAUCAUAGAUAAAAACCCAAAUCUAAAAAUACAAAUUUUCUCUACAAAAAGUAAAACCCAUUUUCGGUUACAAAUUUUUUAACAAAAAAAAUACAUAAAAAGGUAAAAAGAAAAUAAAAAUUAAUACUUUAGCUAUGUAACAUAGGGUAAAUGCGAUGAAAUAUGCAGAUCCAAAACAAAAGAGUGAAAAAGGUGAAAUCUUUAGACAUUUCUAUAGCCAAGAAACAAGAAAACGAUGAAGAAAAAGAGUAAGAGAGAGAGAGAGGAAGAAGAACCUGAAGACCAGCUCUUGAGGAACGAGAUGUGGGUUUCUUCUUGUCCUUGUCUUUGAGGUUUGCUGGUGUUUUACCGGUUGUCAAACCCUUCGCUCCUUUUCCCGACAUGUUUUCGCACUUCAAACGCUUCUUCUUUGAGAGAGAGAGAGAGAGAGAGAGAGCUUUUGAGGUU
rnacentral:lncRNA from 1 species